GAGGGUGUUGCUCACUGGGAGAGUGUGUGCCUAGCAUACACAAGAUCUGGGUUCAAUCCCCAGUACUUCCA
rnacentral:tRNA from 1 species